UUGAGGAGGCCUCACAACUGCUGAGGAGGUGAACAUUUUAGGAUGUCCCGCCAUGGAUGGCGGGACAAGGGAGCGCUGAGCAGGAGCGAAUCGCGAGCGGUCCGUGAAGAAAUGUGAGCUGACGAAGGUACCCGCUUCAGCGGGCGGUUGUGUUUG
rfam:Erwinia sp. EM595 isolate E_g_EM595 genome assembly, chromosome: 1